rnacentral:rRNA from 1 species
CGUGUAGGCGGUUGAUCAAGUCGGAUGUGAAACCCCUCGGCUCAACCGAGGAAUUGCAUUCGAUACUGGUCGGCUAGAGUGCGGCAGGGGUAAGUGGAACUCCAGGUGUAGCGGUGAAAUGCGUAGAUAUCUGGAGGAACGCCGGUGGCGAAAGCGACUUACUGGCCGCAACUGACGCUGAGGCGCGAAAGCCAGGGGAGCGAACG